GGAAUUGUUCGCAAUGGGCGCAAGCCUGACGACGCAACGCCGCGUGGAGGAUGAAGGUCUUCGGAUUGUAAACUCCUGUUGCCAGGGACGAAUGGCUCCGACCUAACACGUCGGAGAGUGACGGUACCUGGUAAGGAAGCCCCGGCUAACUCUGUGCCAGCAGCCGCGGUAAUACAGAGGGGGCUAGCGUUGUUCGGAAUUACUGGGCGUAAAGGGCUCGUAGGCGGCCAACUAAGUCGGAUGUGAAAUCCCCAGGCUCGACCUGGGAACUGCAUCCGAUACUGGAUGGCUUGAAUCCGGGAGAGGGAUGCAGAAUUCCAGGUGUAGCGGUGAAAUGCGUAGAUAUCUGGAGGAAUACCGGUGGCGAAGGCGGCAUCCUGGACCGGCAUUGACGCUGAUGAGCGAAAGCCAGGGGAGCAAAC
rnacentral:rRNA from 1 species